CCUACGGGUGGCAGCAGUAGGGAAUGUUGCGCAAUGGGCGAAAGCCUGACGCAGCAACGCAGCGUGAUAGAGACGGGCUUCGGGGUGUAAAGAUCUGGCAGUGGGGACGAAACUUGACGGUACCCACAGAGGAAGCACCGGCUAACUCCGUGCCAGCAGCCGCGGUAAGACGGGGGGUGCAAGCGUUUUCCGGAAUCAUUGGGCGUAAAGAGUUCGUAGGCGGCACGUAAAGUCUGGUGUUAAAGGCAGAGGCUAAACUUCUGUACGGCACUGGAUACUUGCGAGCUAGACUGCGGUAGAGGUAAAGGGAAUUCCUGGUGUAGCGGUGAAAUGCUUAGAUAUCAGGAGGAACAUCGGUGGCGUAGGCGCUUUACUGGGCCGUAAUUGACGCUGAGGAACGAAAGCCUGGGUAGCAAAUGGGAUUAGAUACCCGUGUAGUC
rnacentral:rRNA from 1 species